rnacentral:rRNA from 1 species
AUACGUAGGUGGCGAGCGUUGUCCGGAUUUACUGGGCGUAAAGGAUGCGUAGGUGGAAAUUUAAGUGGGAUGUGAAAUCCCCGGGCUCAACCCGGGAACUGCAUUCCAAACUGGACUUCUAGAGUGCAGGAGAGGAAAGCGGAAUUCCUAGUGUAGCGGUGAAAUGCGUAGAUAUUAGGAAGAACACCAGUAGCGAAGGCGGCUUUCUGGACUGUAACUGACACUGAGGCACGAAAGCGUGGGGAGC